rnacentral:tRNA from 1 species
CAGAGGGAUAGCUCAGUAGGUAGAGCAUGAGACUCUUAAUCUCAGGGUCAUAGGUUUGAGCCCCACGUUGGGAGGAAGA